CGGACGGGUGAGUAACGCGUGAGAAUUUGCCUUUAGGAAGAGGAUAACUUCUAGAAAUAGAUGCUAAAACUCUAUAUGUCUAACGAUGAAAAAAGCAAUUUGCCUAAAGAGAAGCUCGCGUCUGACUAGCUAGUUGGUAGGGUAAAGGCCUACCAAGGCGACGAUCAGUAGCUGGUCUGAGAGGACGAUCAGCCACACUGGAACUGAGACACGGUCCAGACUCCUACGGGAGGCAGCAGUGAGGAAUUUUCUGCAAUGGGCGAAAGCCUGACAGAGCAAUACCGCGUGAGGGAUGAAGGCCUAUGGGUUGUAAACCUCUUUUCCCAGGGAAGAAGAUCUGACGUUACUUGGGGAAUAAGCAUCGGCUAACCCUGUGCCAGCAGCCGCGGUAAUACAGGGGAUGCAAGUGUUAUCCGGAAUUAUUGGGCGUAAAGCGUCUGCAGGUGGAUUUAUAAGUCUUUUGUUAAAUCUUUGAGCUUAACUCAAAAUCGGCAAAAGAAACUAUUUAUCUUGAGUAUGGUAGAGGUAAAGGGAAUUUCCAGUGGAGCGGUGAAAUGCGUAGAUAUUGGAAAGAACACCAACAGCGAAAGCACUUUACUGGGCCAUUACUGACACUCAGAGACGAAAGCUAGGGGAGCAAAUGGGAUUAGAUACCCCUGUAGUC
rnacentral:rRNA from 1 species